AAAUUUGAAUAAUAAUAUUAACAUGUAAGGACGGCGGGUAGCUCUAAGGAUACCGCCAGCCAACAGUAGGGGAGGAGUAUGGAAAGAGGUGUCCUUGCUGAGGUACAUCCCACAAUACAGCGGGAGUUCUUCAUUUGGUCAAGCACCCUAGCAGCGUGGGACUGAUAUGACUAUAUAUUUGAAGGAAACAAGUGGAAGAAGGAUAAGCUAAACCUGUUGAUUGGUCGAAAGCGACCUUGAUGUUGCAGCCGUGUACAAUCCAAGCGCCUGUCCUACUCCUGUCAAAUCGGUUGGCGCACUCUACAAUGGCAACGUGGUCUAUCUUACUUAUUCUUGCUUUCAACCUCGUCCUUUCUCAAACUCUAUCCGAUUUGCAAGUCCAAGGCGUCAACCAUGUUUAUCCUCUUCCUUCAUACGAUAAAAGGGAGCUAACCGUUCCUAAACGAUCCACGAUGCUGCUGAACAAACUGAUGCAUGCACUUCACAAGGCUCUACGUUCAGAAACUGUCAGUGGACAGCAGAUGGAACUUCAGAGGCGAGGAGAAGGUAAAAUGUUCUGGAGAUGCUACUUCAAUGCAGUUUCUUGCUUUCGAAGGAAAUAAUUUAUAAUGAAUUCAAAAAUGGAUGUCACCUUUAAAAAAUAAGUUCGACCGAAUUGUAUCAAGUAAUUGAAAAGUGAAUACAUCAAAUAUUUUCCAUCCAUCUUCUUUAGAAAAAAAUAAAUAAAUAAAUAAAACAAACUGAAUAUUUUUAUUCACUGUAAAUCAUUUGAUUGAUUUCUUUUCCUGUAGAAAAUAUAUGAUUAAAGGAUAUAUUGAUGUUACCCAUCUUUUUCCAUAAAGCUUCAAUUCAUGUGUCCGAUAAUUCCAUAAAAAAUAGAAAAUAAAUCACUUUGUAAAUAAAGAUGAAUUAAUGAAAAAAACAGUCGACUUGUUGAUUAUAAACACUUUUAAAAUAUAUUUUUAAGUAUUUUGUUACAUUAAAGGGAAGAGGAUUUCAAAAUAAAUUUUCCUUUACGUUGAUUCAAUGUUAAAAUGGAGAUAAAUUGGUCGAAUUCGCAGAAUUAGAGCGCUCGAUAUAAACAUUUUAUAGGGCAUUCGUG